AUUGAACGCUGGCGGCAGGCCUAACACAUGCAAGUCGAACGAGUGGCGGACGGGUGAGUAAUGUCUGGGAAACUGCCCGAUGGAGGGGGGUAACUACUGGAAACGGUAGCUAAUACCGCAUACCAUCGGAUGUGCCCAGGUGGGAUUAGCUAGUAGGUGGGGUAACGGCGAACCUAGGCGACGAUCCCUAGCUGGUCUGGGAGGAUGACCAGCCAAACUGGAAAUGAGAAACGGUCCAGACUCCUACGGGAGGCAGCAGUGGGGAAGAUUGCACAAUGGGCGAAAGCCGGAUGCAGCCAUGCCGCGUGUAUGAAGAAGGCCUUCGGGUUGUAAAGUACUUGCAGCGAGGAGGCGUUACUCGCAGAAGAAGCACCGGCUAACUCCGUGCCAGCAGCCGCGGUAAUUC
rnacentral:rRNA from 1 species